rnacentral:rRNA from 1 species
UGGGGAAUAUUGCACAAUGGGCGCAAGCCUGAUGCAGCCAUGCCGCGUGUAUGAAGAAGGCCUUCGGGUUGUAAAGUACUUUCAGCGGGGAGGAAGGUGUUGAGGUUAAUAACCUCAGCAAUUGACGUUACCCGCAGAAGAAGCAACGGCUAACUCCGUGCCAGCAGCCGCGGUAAUACGGAGGGUGCAAGCGUUAAUCGGAAUUACUGGGCGUAAAGCGCACGCAGGCGGUCUGUCAAGUCGGAUGUGAAAUCCCCGGGCUCAACCUGGGAACUGCAUUCGAAACUGGCAGGCUAGAGUCUUGUAGAGGGGGGUAGAAUUCCAGGUGUAGCGGUGAAAUGCGUAGAGAUCUGGAGGAAUACCGGUGGCGAAGGCGGCCCCCUGGACAAAGACUGACGCUCAGGUGCGAAAGCGUGGGGAGCAAACAGG